GGUGUCCUUCACAUCCCUUAGUAAGUGUUCCACACCAAUUUCCUCAACUUCAUGAGCAGCAAUUUCUGAUGGCACAUGCACAAACACCUUCUGGCUUUUCUGGGUUGCAUUCUCUUUCACCUCUUCAACUGCACAGUAAGCUUUCGUGGGUAUUCCCAGCUCCACUGGUUGGACAUCAAUUAUGACCAAGACAGGAUUUGGAACAUAAUCAUUAAAUAGCGCAUGAAUAUCCAGGUCAUUUUCCCUCAGUUUUGGACCUGUGCUGUACCAACCCACCACAUGCUCCUUGGCAUUUAUUCUUUUGAACAUAGAAAACAUUGACUCGUGAUAAUUAUGGUCAAGAAACCAUAUGCUUGGGUCCUUAUCUUCCUCUUCAAAUGGCACAGCAUAGCUGUUGGUGACAUCAACGGUGCCUUUGAAAGAAGAACCAAGCAAGACCCCAACAACGCGUUUGCGAGUGUCCUUAGCAACUCUGCUGUAGUUAUCGACGAUACUGAGGAGAACCAGAGGGUGCACUACCACCUUCUCGAUGGGUCUCGCAGAUAUUUGCUGCGUCUUUAUCACAUCCAUUCCCACUUCUCGCUCGCUGAUCCAACUUCCCAACUUCAAGAUUUCAAAUCCCUUUUUCUUUCUGCUUCCAAUUCUUUUGAUUUCUGGUUCUGAGUUUUG
rnacentral:misc_RNA from 1 species